rnacentral:rRNA from 1 species
CCUACGGGAGGCAGCAGUGGGGAAUAUUGGGCAAUGGAGGAAACUCUGACCCAGCGACGCCGCGUGCGGGAUGAAGGCCUUCGGGUUGUAAACCGCUUUCAGUAGGGAAGAAGCGAAAGUGACGGUACCUACAAAAGAAGCACCGGCUAACUAUGUGCCAGCAGCCGCGGUAAUACAUAGGGUGCAAGCGUUGUCCGGAAUUAUUGGGCGUAAAGAGCUCGUAGGUCGUUUGUUACGUCGGAUGUGAAAACCUGAGGCUCAACCUCAGGCCUGCAUUCGAUACGGGCAAACUAGAGUUUGGUAGGGGAGACUGGAAUUCCUGGUGUAGCGGUGGAAUGCGCAGAUAUCAGGAGGAACACCAAUGGCGGAGGCAGGUCUCUGGGCCAAUACUGACACUGAGGAGCGAAAGUCUGGGGAGCGAACAGGAUUAGAUACCCGUGGUAGUCCAGACCGUAAACGGUGGGCACUAGUUGUGGGAACCUUCCACGGUUUUCUGCGACGCNGCGUACGCAUUAGUAGCCCGCCGUCGGGUAGGUACGUACGUCGCGAAGAAGUUAAACCGUAACGAAACGUAAGUAAGUAACGGUACGUCGUUAGAGUACGUUACGACGAACGACGACGACGGAGGGAGGAGG